rnacentral:rRNA from 1 species
CAGCCGCCACGGGAAUACAGAGGGUGCGAGCGUUAAUCGGAUUUACUGGGCGUAAAGCGUGCGUAGGCGGCUUCUUAAGUCGGAUGUGAAAUCCCUGAGCUUAACUUAGGAAUUGCAUUCGAUACUGGGAAGCUAGAGUAUGGGAGAGGAUGGUAGAAUUCCAGGUGUAGCGGUGAAAUGCGUAGAGAUCUGGAGGAAUACCGAUGGCGAAGGCAGCCAUCUGGCCUAAUACUGACGCUGAGGUACGAAAGCAUGGGGAGCAAACAGGAUUAGAUACCCGGGUAGUCCCUGUCUUUAUACA